CCUACCGUGGUGUAGCGGUUUAACAUGUUUGACCCGGCUUGUCAGAAGACGUGGGUUUGAAUCCCAUCGGUAUAG